rnacentral:snoRNA from 1 species
UUUUAUGAUGAUUUUUUAUAUUCACACUGUACUAGAAGUAACCUUCUGUGACUACGAAAACAAAAACUGAUUUAAUGACUCUGAGA